GAGUUAAGAGUCUUACUCUCAUUGGGCCAUGAGAAUCAUUUAUAAAUAGAGACGGUCUCUACCGAUGGAUGCAUAGAAAAUAAAUAAGAUUGAGAGAAGAGAGAAAGAGAGAGAGAGGUGUGUGAAGAGAGAGAUCUUUAAUCUUCUCCUACAUCUCUCCCUUUGUUGCCGCCUCCUCUCCUUGGGCGUGGAUCCUUCUUGGGCAUCCUAUCUGCUGGUGUGAGGUGUCACACCAGCAUAUCUCCUCCCUCAUUUGGUUAGCUUGUGAAGAC
rnacentral:lncRNA from 1 species